UCGAAGAAGAUCUCAGUCUACUGAAAUAAAGCUGGACACAGUACUAUGGUAAUCUAUCGCAAAAGUUCAAGUUAAGGAAAACUCUUCGGGGCUAAAGGAAAGUGGAGAUGGAGAAGGUUUCUAUCUCAUAUGGACAUGGGCCAAGCACAAAGGGAAGCUAAGGAGAAGCUAAAAAGAGAGUUGCGGGAAAGGAAAAUAAGAAAGAAAAGUAGAGGAGG
rnacentral:lncRNA from 1 species